rnacentral:tRNA from 1 species
UCCCUGGUGGUCCAGUAGCUAGGACUCUGCUCUCCCAAUGCAGGGAGCCCAGGUUCGAUCCCUGGUCAGGGAC